AUGCUGGAGAUAUCAGAAGUGCGAAUGCUGACGUAAGUAACGAUAAAGGGGGUGAAAAGCCUCCUCGCCGGAAGACCAAGGGUUCCUGUCCAACGUUAAUCGGGGCAGGGUGAGUCGACCCCUAAGGCGAGGCCGAAAGGCGUAGUCGAUGGGAAGCAGGUUAAUAUUCCUGCACGACAUGUAAUUGCGAUGGGGGGACGGAGAAGGCUAGGUGGGCCAGGCGACGGUUGUCCUGGUGAAAGUGCGUAGGUGGUGUUUCUAGGCAAAUCCGGAGACACAACACUGAGACACGAGACGAAGCCACUACGGUGGUGAAGCCAUUGAUGCCCUGCUUCCAGGAAAAGCCUCUAAGCUUCAGAUUACAUGUCAUCGUACCCCAAACCGACACAGGUGGUCGGGUAGAGAAUACCAAGGCGCUUGAGAGAACUCGGGUGAAGGAACUAGGCAAAAUAGUACCGUAACUUCGGGAGAAGGUACGCUCUUGAUGGUGAAGUGACUUGCUCACGGAGCUGUUGGGAGUCGCAGUGACCAGAUGGCUGGGACUGUUUAUCAAAAACACAGCACUCUGCAAACACGAAAGUGGACGUAUAGGGUGUGACACCUGCCCGGUGCCGGAAGGUUAAUUGAUGGGGUUAGUGGUAACACGAAGCUCUUGAUCGAAGCCCCGGUAAACGGCGGCCGUAACUAUAACGGUCCUAAGGUAGCGAAAUUCCUUGUCGGGUAAGUUCCGACCUGCACGAAUGGUGUAACCAUGGCCAUGCUGUCUCCACCCGAGACUCAGUGAAAUCGAAAUCGCCGUGAAGAUGCGGUGUACCCGCGGCUAGACGGAAAGACCCCGUGAACCUUUACUACAGCUUGGCACUGAACAUUGAACCUACAUGUGUAGGAUAGGUGGGAGGCUUUGAAGCGAUGACGCUAGUUGUCGUGGAGCCGACCUUGAAAUACCACCCUUGUAUGUUUGAUGUUCUAACGCAGGUCCCUGAAUCGGGAUCGCGGACAGUGCCUGGUGGGUAGUUUGACUGGGGCGGUCUCCUCCCAAAGAGUAACGGAGGAGCACGAAGGUUGGCUAAUCCUGGUCGGACAUCAGGAGGUUAGUGCAAUGGCAUAAGCCAGCUUAACUGCGAGACGGACAGGUCGAGCAGGUGCGAAAGCAGGUCAUAGUGAUCCGGUGGUUCUGUAUGGAAGGGCCAUCGCUCAACGGAUAAAAGGUACUCCGGGGAUAACAGGCUGAUACCGCCCAAGAGUUCAUAUCGACGGCGGUGUUUGGCACCUCGAUGUCGGCUCAUCACAUCCUGGGGCUGAAGUUGGUCCCAAGGGUAUGGCUGUUCGCCAUUUAAAGUGGUACGCGAGCUGGGUUCAGAACGUCGUGAGACAGUUCGGUCCCUAUCUGCCGUGGGCGUUGGAUGAUUGAAGGGAGUUGCUCCUAGUACGAGAGGACCGGAGUGAACGAACCUCUGGUGUUCGGGUUGUCACGCCAGUGGCACUGCCCGGUAGCUAAGUUCGGAAUCGAUAACCGCUGAAAGCAUCUAAGCGGGAAGCGAGCCCUGAGAUGAGUCAUCCCUGACCCCUUGAGGGUCCUAAAGGGCCGUUGGAGACCACAACGUUGAUAGGCGGGGUGUGUAAGCGCAGCGAUGCGUUGAGCUAACCCGUACUAAUUACCCGUGAGGCUUAACCAU
rnacentral:rRNA from 1 species